rnacentral:rRNA from 1 species
AUGAACCUUUUGGUGAAGAUGUUUGAGGAAGGGGCAUUGCCAAAGCUCGAGAAGCUUGAGCUGUGGUUGUCUGUAUCAAUGGCAAAGGCCUAUGGGUUCUACUUAGGUAUUGAGCACCUCCCAUAUCUGAAAGAUGUGCAAGUUACGUUUCAGAACCGGGAUGCCACAUCUUCUGAAGUUGAGGCUGCUGCAGCUGUCAUAAGGAAGGAAGCAAAUCUCCAUACCAACCAUCCCAGGUUAACUCUCUAUGGAGUAAUGGAAGAAUGA